AACGAACGCUGGCGGCAUGCCUAACACAUGCAAGUCGAACGAAGGCUUCGGCCUUAUUGUCUCACGGUUGCGUAACGCGUGGGAAUCUGCCCUUGGGGUCGGAAUAACAACUGGAAACGGCUGCUAAUACCGGAUGAUGACGAAAGUCCAAAGAUUUAUCGCCAGAGGAUGAUCCCGCGUUGGAUUAGGUAGUUGGUUGGGUAAAGGCCUACCAAGCCGACGAUCCAUAGCUGGUCUGAGAGGAUGAUCAGCCACACUGAGACUGAGACACGGCCCAGACUCCUACGGGAGGCAGCAGUGGGGAAUAUUGGACAAUGGGCGCAAGCCUGAUGCAGCAAUGCCGCGUGAGUGAUGAAGGCCCUAGGGUUGUAAAGCUCUAUUACCUGGGAAGAUAAUGACGGUACCGGGAGAGUAAGCCACGGCUAACUCCGUG
rnacentral:rRNA from 1 species